CCUACGGGUGGCUGCAGUGGGGAAUAUUGGACAAUGGGCGAAAGCCUGAUCCAGCCAUGCCGCGUGUGUGAAGAAGGCCUUCGGGUUGUAAAGCACUUUCAGUGGGGAAGAAAGCCUUGGGGCUAAUACCCUCGAGGAAGGACAUCACCCACAGAAGAAGCACCGGCUAACUCCGUGCCAGUAGCCGCGGUAAUACGGAGGGUGCGAGCGUUAAUCGGAAUUACUGGGCGUAAAGCGCGCGUAGGCGGUCUGAUAAGCCGGUUGUGAAAGCCCCGGGCUCAACCUGGGAACGGCAUCCGGAACUGUCAGGCUAGAGUGCAGGAGAGGAAGGUAGAAUUCCCGGUGUAGCGGUGAAAUGCGUAGAGAUCGGGAGGAAUACCAGUGGCGAAGGCGGCCUUCUGGACUGACACUGACGCUGAGGUGCGAAAGCGUGGGUAGCAAACAGGAUUAGAUACCCCGGUAGUC
rnacentral:rRNA from 1 species